GACGAACGCUGGCGGCGUGCUUAACACAUGCAAGUCGAACGGAAAGGCCCUGCUUUUGUGGGGUGCUCGAGUGGCGAACGGGUGAGUAACACGUGAGUAACCUGCCCUUGACUUUGGGAUAACUUCAGGAAACUGGGGCUAAUACCGGAUAGGAGCUCCUGCUGCAUGGUGGGGGUUGGAAAGUUUCGGCGGUUGGGGAUGGACUCGCGGCUUAUCAGCUUGUUGGUGGGGUAGUGGCUUACCAAGGCUUUGACGGGUAGCCGGCCUGAGAGGGUGACCGGCCACAUUGGGACUGAGAUACGGCCCAGACUCCUACGGGAGGCAGCAGUGGGGAAUAUUGCACAAUGGGCGGAAGCCUGAUGCAGCAACGCCGCGUGCGGGAUGACGGCCUUCGGGUUGUAAACCGCUUUCGCCUGUGACGAAGCGUGAGUGACGGUAAUGGGUAAAGAAGCACCGGCUAACUACGUGCCAGCAGCCGCGGUGAUACGUAGGGUGCGAGCGUUGUCCGGAUUUAUUGGGCGUAAAGGGCUCGUAGGUGGUUGAUCGCGUCGGAAGUGUAAUCUUGGGGCUUAACCCUGAGCGUGCUUUCGAUACGGGUUGACUUGAGGAAGGUAGGGGAGAAUGGAAUUCCUGGUGGAGCGGUGGAAUGCGCAGAUAUCAGGAGGAACACCAGUGGCGAAGGCGGUUCUCUGGGCCUUUCCUGACGCUGAGGAGCGAAGGCGUGGGGAGCGAACAGGCUUAGAUACCCUGGUAGUCCACGCUGUAAACGGUGGGUACUAGGUGUGGGGUCCAUUCCACGGGUUCCGUGCCGUAGCUAACGCUUUAAGUACCCCGCCUGGGGAGUACGGCCGCAAGGCUAAAACUCAAAGGAAUUGACGGGGCCCCGCACAAGCGGCGGAGCAUGCGGAUUAAUUCGAUGCAACGCGUAGAACCUUACCUGGGUUUGACAUGGAUCGGGAGUGCUCAGAGAUGGGUGUGCCUCUUUUGGGGUCGGUUCACAGGUGGUGCAUGGCUGUCGUCAGCUCGUGUCGUGAGAUGUUGGGUUAAGUCCCGCAACGAGCGCAACCCUUGUUCACUGUUGCCAGCACGUUAUGGUGGGGACUCAGUGGAGACCGCCGGGGUCAACUCGGAGGAAGGUGGGGAUGACGUCAAGUCAUCAUGCCCCUUAUGUCCAGGGCUUCACGCAUGCUACAAUGGCUGGUACAGAGAGUGGCGAGCCUGUGAGGAUGAGCGAAUCUCGGAAAGCCGGUCUCAGUUCGGAUUGGGGUCUGCAACUCGACCUCAUGAAGUCGGAGUCGCUAGUAAUCGCAGAUCAGCAACGCUGCGGUGAAUACGUUCCCGGG
rnacentral:rRNA from 1 species